AUUUAGAUGACGAGUCCCAAAUUGGACGAAAUGCGCAUCCUGGAU
rnacentral:hammerhead_ribozyme from 1 species